AGAGUUUGAUCCUGGCUCAGGACGAACGCUGGCGGCGCGCCUAACACAUGCAAGUCGAACGAGCGAGAGAGAGCUUGCUUUCUCGAGCGAGUGGCGAACGGGUGAGUAACGCGUGAGGAACCUGCCUCAAAGAGGGGGACAACAGUUGGAAACGACUGCUAAUACCGCAUAAGCCCACAGCUCGGCAUCGAGCAGAGGGAAAAGGAGCAAUCCGCUUUGAGAUGGCCUCGCGUCCGAUUAGCUAGUUGGUGAGGUAAUGGCCCACCAAGGCGACGAUCGGUAGCCGGACUGAGAGGUUGAACGGCCACAUUGGGACUGAGACACGGCCCAGACUCCUACGGGAGGCAGCAGUGGGGAAUAUUGCACAAUGGGGGAAACCCUGAUGCAGCGACGCCGCGUGGAGGAAGAAGGUCUUCGGAUUGUAAACUCCUGUUGUUGAGGAAGAUAAUGACGGUACUCAACAAGGAAGUGACGGCUAACUACGUGCCAGCAGCCGCGGUAAAACGUAGGUCACAAGCGUUAUCCGGAAUUACUGGGUGUAAAGGGAGCGCAGGCGGGAAGACAAGUUGGAAGUGAAAUCUAUGGGCUCAACCCAUAAACUGCUUUCAAAACUGUUUUUCUUGAGUAGUGCAGAGGUAGGCGGAAUUCCCGGUGUAGCGGUGGAAUGCGUACAUAUCGGGAGGAACACCAGUGGCGAAGGCGGCGUACUGGGCACCAACUGACGCUGAGGCUCGAAAGUGUGGGUAGCAAACAGGAUUAGAUACCCUGGUAGUCCACACCGUAAACGAUGAUUACUAGGUGUUGGAGGAUUGACCCCUUCAGUGCCGCAGUUAACACAAUAAGUAAUCCACCUGGGGAGUACGACCGCAAGGUUGAAACUCAAAGGAAUUGACGGGGGCCCGCACAAGCAGUGGAGUAUGUGGUUUAAUUCGACGCAACGCGAAGAACCUUACCAAGUCUUGACAUCCCUUGACGAACAUAGAAAUAUGUUUUCUCUUCGGAGCAAGGAGACAGGUGGUGCAUGGUUGUCGUCAGCUCGUGUCGUGAGAUGUUGGGUUAAGUCCCGCAACGAGCGCAACCCUUACUGUCAGUUACUACGCAAGAGGACUCUGGCAGGACUGCCGUUGACAAAACGGAGGAAGGUGGGGAUGACGUCAAAUCAUCAUGCCCUUUAUGACUUGGGCUACACACGUACUACAAUGGCGUUAAACAAAGAGAAGCAAGACCGCGAGGUGGAGCAAAACUCAGAAACAACGUCCCAGUUCGGACUGCAGGCUGCAACUCGCCUGCACGAAGUCGGAAUUGCUAGUAAUCGUGGAUCAGCAUGCCACGGUGAAUACGUUCCCGGGCCUGUACACACCGCCCGUC
rnacentral:rRNA from 1 species